rnacentral:lncRNA from 1 species
UUGGAUCUAGAGCUCUUUAGGAGUAAUGGCUUCCCGAAAAGAACUAUAGAGAAAAAGAAGGCAGAAUAACCCAGGUGCCUGAGCAUCUUUGAGGAGCCUAAUUCAGACUGGUCAUUUUCUACAGAGGUUGUCUGUACAGGUGUAUGAGGAAAAGAAAAUCUUAUUUAUGAAUGGAGUGUGGUGAUACACCCUAUCCCGAGCUUUUGUCCCCACCAGCAAGAACAUGCUCAGGACAACCGGAAUCUUCUGCGGCAAAAGCUUUAUUGCUUACUUCUUUAGGAACAAGAGGAGAAGAAUAGGGGCGAAUGGCAAAACCCUGUCCCUUUUAUGGAGGAUUGUCCUCCGCCUCGGACAUGUCGCUCCCUGAUUGGCUGCAGCCCAUCAACCGAGUUGUCGUCAAGGGGAAGGCAGAGCACAUGGAGUGGAGAACUACCCCGGCACAUGCGCAGAUUAUUUGUUUACUACUUAGAACACAGGAUGUCGGCGCCAUCUUGUAAUGGUGAAUGUGAGGGUGGCUCCUCACAACAUCCCUUUAAUCCCAGUACUGAAGGCAGAGGCAGGUGGAUUUCUGAGUCUGAAGACAGCCUGGUAUAGAGAGCUAGUUCCAGGGCUAUACAAGAAGACUCUGUCUUGCAAAAAAUGAAACAAAACAAAAUAAAACAAAUGAAUAAACAAAAAGAAAGAAGCUUCAAUUUUUAUAAAAUAAAAACUAAUUUACUUUA